AUCCCUCUCCUUUCCUGUGUUCUUCCUGGACAACAUUUCCCGAUCCAAAUCCGCGCCGAAUCACCUCGAUCCUUCGCUGUUUCUCACCUCCACCUCCUUAUAAGUAAUCCCCACCUCCCCCUCCUCCGAUUUUUGGCAAAUAUGAGGUCUCCCGUGCCCUAGCUCGGCCGCACCAGAGGAUCCCGAUCUCGCCGGAGCUGCCGUCACAGAAGCUCCGCCAUCGUCGUUUCCGUCGUCGACAGAGGGGGAGCACCAGGACGCCGCCCACGAGCCCAACCCGAAGCAUAUCGCCUCCGCGCCAUAGUUCUAGCACUGCUGCCAACAGAGGCAGCCCCCUUCGCCGUUUUCGCCACCAUCAUCAUCUCCGUCACACCCUGCACCCUCUAGUAACCUCUGCUUCGCCGGAGGACCACUGCAGACGUCGUCGUCGACGAGUCCCGAGCCGCGCGCCUUCUUCCCCAAGCCCGGCGCCGCCCAACCCCUCUAUUCUCCGAUUUUACGGAGUGUGAAGCGGAUCAGAAUUAAUCGUUAGAGUACUUCAACAACAUUCAAGGCAAGUUUGCACUUUUGAUUUUGCUCAUCCUAUAUUCUGCUAUGCAUGUGUGAUUUUUAUGCUAUGACAUGUGCUUGGUUUGAUAUGUAUGUUCUCUGUUGUCAUAUUCUGAAAUUGAUUGUAUUAUGUGAUGGUGUGAUCAACUUGCUAUGGUAGACGUGGGCAUGUGUCGAGUGAUCCAUGAAAGUGGUGAGUGUUUAUAGCCGUAGGCUCGGGAUUAUUAUCCAGGUGAAUGCGUCACUGGCAGAGCGCUCUAUUGUCCCUAGAGAAUGCGCCAUUGACAGAGCACACUUGAGGCGAGGUAUAGUUUUCGAAACUUAAAUCAGGUGAAUGCGUCCUUGGCAGAGCGCUCUAUUGUUCCUAGAGAAUGCGCCAUUGACAGAGCGCACUUGAGAGAUACUUCUGAAGUUCUUGUCAUGUUUAUUUAGAAUCUUUGGCUUAUCUUGGGCGAGUAAAUUAGAGACGGUUGUGAGUUCAGGUAGUGGAGGUAGGUGAAGACAUUCUUCUCCAAACUAAAUUGUGUGUUUUGUUUGUCAUACAUUGCUUUGUGGAUGUAGGUUUGCUAUAUCAUAUUGUGUGAUUUGCCAAUACAUUCAAUGUAUUGACCCUUUGUGACUGCAACUUAUCAUGUUGCAGGAUUUCGAGAUGAUCAAUGAGAUACAGUAGGGUCGCGAGUAUUCACUCAACAUGUUCUCCAGUGGGCAUUGAUGGACUCAUCGUUGAUUAUGCUACCUUUCCGCUGUUAUUAUUGAAUAAAGUUAGCUAUGUGCUACUUAGUUUGUAAUAUUUUAUGAAUUCUGGAUCAUACAUUGUAGUAAAUGAUGCACUUGUUAUUUGAUAUUCAUAUGUACUGUGUGUGCUAGCGAAUCGAU